rnacentral:lncRNA from 1 species
GAAACCUUGCUUUGAUACCAUCUGAAAGAAAAAUUGAUAGUUCAAAGUAUGUAUUUUUAAAAUUUUAUAGCAGAAUAAUAAAAAAUUAAAUAUUUAAAUCUUCUAAACAUAUCUUAGAUUAGAUCUAAAAUACUAUUAAAGAUCUAUGAUAUAAAAAAUUUACAUAUAAAAUUUGAUAAAAAAUAAAAAACUGCAUCGAUCACAUCGAUACCCUGAAUCUGAUCUAACUUUUAGAUUAUGUCAGUAGAGUUCAGAACUCAUCAUCUUUUUAUGGAUCGAUGAUCUCCAUUACUGAUAAGUAUGAUAUAAAGCUUUCACUGAUAUCGAGCAGCCACAC